AUUGAACGCUGGCGGUAUGCUUAACACAUGCAAGUCGAACGAUGAGAAAGAGCUUGCUCUUUCGAUUAGUGGCGGACGGGUGCGCAACGCGUAGGAAUCUACCUAUUAGUGGGGGACAACUUAGGGAAACUUAAGCUAAUACCGCAUACGCCCUACGGGGGAAAGAAGGGGAUCGCAAGACCUUUUGCUAAUAGAUGAGCCUGCGUUGGAUUAGCUAGUUGGUGGGGUAAAAGCUCACCAAGGCGACGAUCCUUAACUGGUUUGAGAGAAUGAUCAGUCACACUGGAACUGAGACACGGUCCAGACUCCUACGGGAGGCAGCAGUGGGGAAUAUUGGACAAUGGGCGAAAGCCUGAUCCAGCAAUACCGCGUGUGUGAAGAAGGCCUUAGGGUUGUAAAGCACUUUCAAUUGGAAGGAAAACCUCGAAGCUAAUACCUUCGAGUUUGACAUUACCUUUAGACGAAGCACCGGCUAACUCCGUGCCAGCAGCCGCGGUAAAAC
rnacentral:rRNA from 1 species